CAUUAAACAGCUAACUAUUAUCUCAUUAUUUUUCUUGUUGAAAGAUUCUAUAACAGAAAUAAUGUAAUCUUAUUUGACUAGUAAACCCAAAUAGAAAAACUUGAAUUGCAUUUUGCAGUGCAUUCAGUAUUGGUAACUAUGAAGACAUACCUGACUUUAUUAAACCAACCAACUUAAACUAGCUUUUAUUUACCAGAAGAUUAUCCUAGAUCAUGGGAACUUGAAAAACAUUUAGGCUGUUUUUCUUUUAUUUCUGAGAGUAUACUUAAUUUACAUAGUACUUGUUUGUCUUUAAGCCAGUUGAAUAGAGCUCUUUCCAAAUAAUUUUGACGAUACCAUCCAGAGGUAGAAAAAUAUCACAUACAUAUAUAGGCCUACACACAUAGACAUAUAGAAAGACACAAAUGGAGAUCUUGUAGGUUUCAUUUUAAAUUUUUAGCCAUGCCUCAGGUAUAACAAUAUAAAACUCAUGAGUUUAUGAAUAGCAGUUGGAAUAAGUUAAAUUCUCCUGCUCAGAUGACUAAAGCUUUUUACUAUUUGUGGAGAAGACUUUCAAGAUUUGCAUUUGCCCUUGACAAGUUAUCUAGACUUUGGACAAAGGAGCUUUUAUAGCAGUUUGUGUAUGUUUUUGUAAAAAAGGGCUCUUUACGUUUUUUUUUUCCUUUAGUCUCAGGUGAGUGGCGGCUGUGUCUUAGUUACCUCCUGGGGAAUUUACAUUUCAAAGACAGAGUAAGAUUUCCGUCUUCAAGGGACAGAGAAAGUUUGCAAGUUUUCUCCUAGGAGCUUUGGCUUUAUUUCUCUAUUAUCAGAAGCCUAGAGUAAUUAAAUUUUUCCUUCUUUUUCUGUAAGUUCAGGACAAUUGCAGUCCAAUGUUCUGAUGUUUUACAAUAUCAGCAAAUGUCUGAAGGCAAAUAUGAAAGGGUUUGAGUGGAUUUUUAGUUGCUCUAGGAGCUAUGCUUUUGUUUCUCUAAAGAUUCAAGUUGUAAAUUAAGAGUUGCUGAUUUUCAUUUUUUUUUUGGGUCUGCAUUUCUGCCAGCUCUCUUCAAGGAAUUAGGUGGCCUUUUCCAUUAUAAUGCUUUGAGCUUCAUUUGCCCACUUAACUACACUAUUUUAAAUUUGUGUUUUUUUCACUAGGGAAAAAAUUUCCAACUAAGAUGGAAAUCAAAAGAUUCCAUGUUCUGCUGUCCAGGGGACAUGAAUUUUCUGGGUGGGGGUCUAGGAUGCAUAGGAAGGCCUGAAGAUGGCAAAGCCUGAUUACAAAGCCCAGCAAAAUGAGUCUUAUUGUCUGUCCCAGGUGCUUCUGCUAAAUUUAUUUCCUGUUUUGCAGCAUUUACAUGAGUUACCUGUACAUGCUAGACCUAGAGACUAGGCUAGAGUGUUUUCUGUAAAUCUUAUAGGGAAAGGAAAGUUAAAAUAAGCAGCUGGAUGUUUAAGGGAUUUUCUGAGGAAGGUGGAGUUAAGGGAAGCAGCUGAAGAGAUGGGCUGGAUAUUUUUUAUGAGGAAGGUUCACCCUGAGCUAAUGUCUGUCACCAAUCUUCCUCUUUUUGCUUGAGGUAGCUCUGAGCUAACAUCUGUUGCCAGUCGUCCUCUAUUUUUUGUAUGUGGGUUGCCACCACCACAUGGCUGCAAACAGUGGUGUAGAUCUGCGCCUGGGAGCUGAACCCAGGCUGCCAAAGUAGAGCACACUGAACUUAACCAGUAGGCCACAGGGCCAGCUGAGAUGGGGCUGGAUUUUAAAAAGGAGAGUUUAUGUGUAUGUGGACUUCAGUUUUAUUCUAGGUUUAAUUUCCAUUCUUUUAUUUUUUUAAGGGAGUCCCUAAGGCUAGCUGUUAUACUUCUUUGUAUACGUCUUUUUUAAUUUGGUCUUUUGACAAGUACUAAUAAGACAAUUGUUUUCAGUGAGAGCUCUCCAAAAAUUUUUCAGUUUAGUCAGUUCAAAGGAUCCAUUGUCUGGCCAUUGAUGAGUAGAAUCUUCAUAGUGACUCAAGCCAAUAAGACUUUUUAUGGAUUAACUAAGGACACAAGAGGUGUCCCACAAGAGAGUGCAAAAGAUACAGCCCUCACAAUAUCCAGAAAGUUCACUUUCAAAAAUAAUCUAAGCAAAGACCUUCAUUUCAUAGAUGGUAGGGAUGGUGUAGUGAAAACUGUGUCUCCAGUUUCCUACAAGAACAUGAGACGCCUCCAGUCAUAGACCCGCUAAUCUGUAACACUGGGCAGGUGCUACGGGAACGGGACUUUUCCAGCACAAACAAACCAAUGAAAGUUGAGAUGAUAAAGAUCUCUUGUUACUGCACAAAGGCCAUGAUCUGCUCACCGUGAGACAAAAGCCAAUCAUCAAGAAGCAAGAUGGUGGAAGAGAAAGGGCAUUUUGUUACAGCUUGUUAGUAAGAAGGAAGAUGGCUGACUAAUGUCCAAAAGAACCAUCUUAAGGGGGGCACAGAAUCUUGAAACCGUUAUAUGGGCCAGUGAGUUAUAGGGGAAGGGGUUAGGAAUGUUGACCUUCUGGUGUUACAGACUGGGAGUUGCCACACCAGAUCCUUGUUUCCUUGUUUUCUUCUUUUUUUUUUUUUUAAAUAUGAUGCUAGCUGUAGAUUUUUUUUUUUUUUUAAGAUUGGCACCUGAGCCAACAACUUUUGCCAAUCUUUUUUUUUUUUCUUUCUGCUUUUCUCCCCAGAUCCCCCCAGUACAUAGUUGCAUAUAUUUUAGUUGUGGGUCCUUCUAGUUGUGGCACGUGGGAUGCUGCCUCAACGUGGCCUGAUGAGUGAUGCCAUGUCCGUGCCCAGGAUCCGAACCAGCGAAACCCUGGGCCGCGGUAGCAGAGUGCGCAAACUUAACCACUCGGCCAUGGAGCCGGCCCCCAGAUCCUUCAGUUUCACUGAUGAUGGCUAUCAGCAUAGACUCUCUGUCUGAGGGUCAUCACAUUCCUAAGGAACUCAAAAGAACAAAGUUAUCAUCUUAUCACAGCUGGGAGCAAAGGCCUUCAUUUGUUAGAGGCGAAGAAGGUGAGCAGAAUAAACAUUAACUUAUUCUAACUGGCCAAGUCUGCAGGAGAUGCAAUAGGUCUGAGAGACUGAAAUAGGAGUAGAACCACCACCUAGAGAGAAUUGUGAUGCUCAACAUUACAUAACUCCUUAGAGCUAGAUCUGGAACUAGAGUUUUUUCAAGUUGUACUUUUAUCUCAGACAAAUAAAUAUUGAAAUUAUUUAAUUCAUUACUUUGUCUUUAUCUCUUUUAAGAUCCAGUAUGCAGUAAACAUUCAAAUUUGUAUAAAAGUGUGGUACACAAAUUUCCCUGAAAAUCUUUAGAAUGUCUCAAGUUCUAGAUAUAAAACUACCAUAGAGUCAGACUCUACUGAACCACUGGAAAUAAUGGUGAUAGAAAACAGUUAUUGAGGAAAUGGGAUGGAUUCAUAACAUUUCUCUGAAUCAGAAUGUUAGAAUAUGUUCCUUUAAAAUGUUCUUUAUUUGAAAAACUGCCUGAUACAGAAGAAGUUCUUUGUCAAGUAACGUAACAGGGAAAAAGAAUUUUGCAGCUGUGGGUCUUUGAGAAUACCUGUCUAUUAAUAUAUAUUAUUAAUAUAUAUGACAUAUACAUACAUAUAUGUGUAUGUCUACAUAUCCUAUUGGUGGUGUAACAAAUUACCACAAUCUUAGUGGCUUAAAAAACACAAAUUUAUUAUCUUACACUUCUGAAGUUCAGAAGUCUAAAUUGUAUCUCAGGGCUGAGUUCCUUCUGGAGACUCUUAGGAAGAAUCCAUUUCCUUACCUUUUCCAACUAUUGCAGGUUCUCCUCAUUGCUUGACUCAUGGCCCACAUCAAAUUGCCUUUUCUCUCUCUACUCCUGCUUAACCUCACAUUGUUUUGACUCUGACUCCUUCUGUGUUCCUUUUAUAAGGAUCCUCAUGGUUACAUAGAGCCCCCUGAGCUAGUUCCACAUAAUCUCCCUGUCUCAAGAUCCUUAACCUGAUCAAAUCUGUAAAGGUUUUUUUGCCCAAUAAGAACAUUCACAGGUUCCAGGGAUUAGGAUGUGCACAUCUUUGGUGUGACCAUUAUUCAAUCUCUCUCUCUGUCCUAUAUAUUGUUAAGACACAGUUCUCUACUUAAUCUUCUGUCUGUCUCAUUCCAAUCAUGUUAAAGGGCUCCUUUCAGUUAACUCAGCUAAAACAAUGCAAACCUGAAGUUAGGCUAACAUAUCUUGAGGGUCCAAAACUUUCAAGUCAGUUGAUUAACAUAU
rnacentral:lncRNA from 1 species